CCUACGGGAGGCAGCAGUGAGGAAUAUUGGUCAAUGGGCGUAAGCCUGAACCAGCAAAGUCGCGUGAGGGAUGAAGGUUCUAUGGAUCGUCAACCUCUUUUAUAAGGGAAUAAAGUGUGGGACGUGUCCUGUUUUGUAUGUACCUUAUGAAUAAGGAUCGGCAAACUCCGUGCCAGCAGCCGCGGUAAUACUGAGGAUCCGAGCGUUAUCCGGAUUUAUUGGGUUUAAAGGGUGCGUAGGCGGGCUGUUAAGUCAGCGGUAAAAGCCCGGGGCUCAACCCCGGCCUGCCGUUGAAACUGGCUGUAUUGAGAUGUCGAGAGGGAUGCGGAAUGCGCAGUGUAGCGGUGAAAUGCUUAGAGAGUGCGCAGAACUCCGAUUGCGAAGGCAGCAUACCGGCGGCGAUCUGACGCUGAGGCACGAAAGCGUGGGUAUCGAACAGGAUUAGAUACACUUGUAGUC
rnacentral:rRNA from 1 species